AGGACGAACGCUGGCGGCGUGCUUAACACAUGCAAGUCGAGCGAUGAAACACCUUCGGGGUGUGAAUUAGCGGCGAACGGGUGAGGAACACGUGAAGAAUCUGCCUUCAACUCUGGGAUAACUCCGGGAAACCGGGGCUAAUACCGGAUAUGAGCCUUGAUCGCAUGAUCGGGGCUGGAAAGUUUUUCGGUUGAAGAUGACUUCGCGGCCUAUCAGCUUGUUGGUGAGGUAAUGGCUCACCAAGGCGACGACGGGUAGCCGGCCUGAGAGGGCGACCGGCCACACUGGGACUGAGACACGGCCCAGACUCCUACGGGAGGCAGCAGUGGGGAAUAUUGGGCAAUGGAGGAAACUCUGACCCAGCGACGCCGCGUGAGGGAUGAAGGCCUUCGGGUUGUAAACCUCUUUCAGUAGGGAAGAAGCGAAAGUGACGGUACCUACAGAAGAAGCACCGGCUAACUAUGUG
rnacentral:rRNA from 1 species